CCUCGGAUCGACCCCGUACCCACGCCGACGGAGGAGAAGUGGACACGUGCUCAGUUAGAGAAGAGAACGGCACCUGCAGUCACCUGGGGCCAGAGGAUGUGGCAGACGCAUUUCAGCAGGCUUCUCAGUCCCAACAGGUCUCUUGAGAUGCGGGGCAGGCCCAGAGUCUAUGGGGCAUCUGUGGCAUGACUUGGCUGCUCGCUGCGCAGAGGAAGCGUCAAGCAGUCCCAGCCUCACCUGAACCUUUGGAACCUCCCCCUUGUGAGGCCCAGAGUUCAUCUGCUUCUCCGAGGUGUUUCCUGAACCACAGCCAACCUGAGUCCAGCUACCAGUUACUGAACAGCUGCUACCUUGAGAGGGACUGACCGACAUCGAGGACCUGGACUCCAGAACCCUGCUUUUGACCGGGAGACCUCCCAACUCGGAGCUCAAAUAAAUACGAGUGUGUUCGUUCUCAAUCCUGGAACCCGUGAGCCAAGCUGCAUUUUACGUCUGCAUCCUCUACCCCCUGUUACAGGAGCCUGUUGCCUUUAACGAACCUGAGUCAGUCUAGCGAGGAGAACUGCUCGCCAGGGCUAAUUAUCAUCGCGGCGAUGUGAGUAAAUGAAGGAAAGUGAGUCAUGCACUAGGGCGGUUUUAUGACGGCUGUGAGGGAAGGCAAAUCAAAUGUACGCAUCUAAACUGCAGGGACCUGCGAGCGGCUGAAUCAUACGUCCGAGUGAAUAUGAGUUUUAUGGCGUGCGCCUGGAGAUCCUUAACAUAAUUGUCCUGCUGCUUUGGUCAGGUUGUUCUCUGCCCGGAGGCCCAGUGGUGACCUCUCCAAACACGUCAAGUGGAGCCCUGAACUCUUCAAAUGGAGGCCACCCAUCUUGGGAAGAAAGACAACAGAAAAGAAAGAAAGAGAGUGGCGAAGUCAUAUUUCCACUGCAGAGUUGCCUGAAGAGCUCGCUCCCUUCCUGCCCUGGCUCUGUUCCCGUCAGUGCAUCCCUUGUAGCGAGUCUUAGCUCAGCAGCCUUCACGGGGUGGCCUACAGGGCAAUGAAGUGACCCAAGAAAGAGGAUGGCAUUUCUCCAACCCCCUCACCACCUGUGUGUGUUCACCAGGGAGGUGUUCUUGCCGUCUGGUCCCAGAUGUCCUAAUGCCUCCUUCGCGUAUGGGUUUGUUCAUUGAUUUAGUUAAUGAUUUGAUUUCUAAGUCUGCCCAGGCACUCUUGGAAAUGUCCUGUAGGAUAUAGACACGAAUCAGCAUGAACUCUGUUCUCAGGAAGCCUGCAGGGUAGGAGAGAAGGUUGGGCGGGUGCCACUGAAGCCUUCACACAGCUAAGGGGCUGUAGGUGGGCUUCCAGCGUGGGCUCUGGACCGCCUCGGCAUGACCCCUGCUCCCCAGCGGCAGAGUUAUUUGCUACUCGCAUCCAUAAAAUGUGGAUGAUAAUAGUUCCCACCCACUGGAUUGUUUUGAGGAAAGCACCUGACACAGUGUUGGUGGUCACUAAGUGUUACCUCACGGUUUCCUCCACAAAUAAGUGGCAAGUAUCCUAACUGAGAAACCACUGACGUGCUCUGAGGUUCAGAGACAGAUGUGUCCUGGGGCCUGGAGAGGUUCACAACGCAGGCAGCCUUUGGGCCAGGCCUGGACGGCUCAGCUGAGAUCUCUCUGCGAUGCCCAUCGGAGUCGGUGCUCCCAGCAUUAGAGAAGCAGGACUUUGCCCCAUUUCUCUGUGCGUAUCUAUCGGUGUUUAAUACACAACUGGUUCUUUAAACAUGUUUUCUGGGGACACUGAGGAAAAGGAUGAUUUCUUACGUAAGGGUUAGUUGUUUGUUCUUCAGCUAAUCAAGCCACUCUUCACUUGACUUUGAGGAAGUUCUUUCACCUCUCUGAGACUCUUUAUCCUUUUGGAGUAGAGAAGGCCUAUACUCAGUAAGCAUUGUGGCUUUUUUAAACCAGCUCUGAACUAUGGUGAUUAUUAACAAUAUUGCUGUGAGUUUUAGCCUCGCACAUCAUUCACGUGGUUUACAAAGAGUUGACUACAAAUUGUGUGGAACUUGGGCCUGUGUUUGAGUGACUGAUUUCUCUCCAAAGUUUUAUGUUAUAAAAUCGUGAACGGAGCUUUCCAAAACCAUGACUGCGAAAUAUUCUAUUUGACCAACAAUACUUAAAGUGUUUAUGUCCAUAUUUACCAAUUCUAUCCUUAUCUACCCACCCACUCUUCUGUCUGUCUGCUUCUUCUCGUUUCACCUAGUUAGGCAAAAACAACCAGCUUACCACUGGUAUAAGCCUGCAAAUACAGAAAUCUCUAAAGAGAACAGACUUUUUUUUGGAGAUUUGUGACCUAAUUUUAAUUAGACGCACUACCUAAUUUCACUCUGUUUUGGUUUAUUCAUUCUUGUUACGGGUCCACAUACUAUAUUACUCAAAGAAAAAAUUGGAACUUUUGUUUGUUUUUUAUGGGCUGGAAUCAUUGAUAUGUUUUGGAAUAUCACUGUGUCCUUUACUCAGGACAUACGACACACGUUGUAGAUAACAGAAUCCGCUGGACCUUGUUUAAGAGAAAGAGACUUAAUUUAGGGAAUGGGAAGGGCAGGAGCAGGUUCUAAGCCAAAUUGUCAGGAACUGUCACGGAAUGGCCUACCUAGGGAGCCGCUGCCUUUUCUUUUUUUUUUUUGAGGAAGAUUAUCCCUGAGCCAACUACUGCCAAUCCUCCUCUUUUUUUGC